CGCUAAGAAGCUAAACAGGACGUAGCGCUAGCCUUUUAAGCUAGAGAAUGGUGUCUACCGAUCACCCUUAGCGA
rnacentral:tRNA from 1 species